rnacentral:rRNA from 1 species
AGAGUUUGAUCCUGGCUCAGAACGAACGCUGGCGGCGUGGAUAAGACAUGCAAGUCGAACGGGACCAGGUUUGUAGUAAUACCAACUUGGUUCAGUGGCGCACGGGUGCGUAACACGUGAGCAAUCUGCCGGGAAGUGGGGGAUAGCUCGCCGAAAGGCGAAUUAAUACCGCAUGUGGCCAUCCUUCGAGUGGAGGAAAAGCCAAAGCAGCAAUGCGCUUCCUGAUGAGCUCGCGGCCUAUCAGCUCGAUGGCGGGGUAAUGGCCCACCAUGGCUUUGACGGGUAGCUGGUCUGAGAGGACGACCAGCCACACUGGAACUGAGAUACGGUCCAGACACCUACGGGUGGCAGCAGUCGAGAAUUUUUCACAAUGGGGGCAACCCUGAUGGAGCGACGCCGCGUGGAGGAUGAAGGCCUUCGGGUUGUAAACUCCUGUCAUGCGGGAACAAGCAAGUGAUAGUACCGCAAGAGGAAGAGACGGCUAACUCUGUGCCAGCAGCCGCGGUAAUACAGAGGUCUCAAGCGUUGUUCGGAUUCAUUGGGCGUAAAGGGUGCGUAGGUGGUGACGCAAGUCUGGUGUGAAAUCUCGGAGCUCAACUCCGAAAUUGCACCGGAUACUGCGUGACUCGAGGACUGUAGAGGAGAUCGGAAUUCACGGUGUAGCAGUGAAAUGCGUAGAUAUCGUGAGGAAGACCAGUUGCGAAGGCGGAUCUCUGGGCAGUUCCUGACACUGAGGCACGAAGGCCAGGGGAGCAAACGGGAUUAGAUACCCCGGUAGUCCUGGCAGUAAACGGUGCACGUUUGGUGUGGGCGGGUUCAGACCCCGUCCGUGCCGGAGCUAACGCGUUAAACGUGCCGCCUGGGAAGUACGGUCGCAAGAUUAAAACUCAAAGAAAUUGACGGGGGCCCGCACAAU